UAAAAAUUUAAUUUUAAAUAUUUAAGUAGUAUUAGUUAAGUUCUUGAAAUUUAAAAAAUUUGGCGGUAUUUUAGUCUAUUCAGAGGAACCUGUUUUGUAAUCGAUAAUCCACGAUGUAUCUUACUUAAAUUUGUUUAGUUUAUAUAUCGUCGUUUAUAGAAUAUUUUAUUAAAACAAUAAUUUUCUAGAUUUUAUAUUUAAAAUAUAUCAGAUCAAGAUGUAGCUUAUGUUUAAGUUUAUAAUGGGUUACAAUUUUUUUAUUAUUGGAAAUAAUUUUGAAAUUAAUUAUUAAAAUUGGAUUUGAUAGUAAAUUUAUAUAGAUAAAUAAGUUGAUUUUAGCUCUAAAAUAUGU
rnacentral:rRNA from 1 species